UAACUGCUAUGUUUACUAUGCAAACAGUUUUAACCAUUUGCUAACCUAUGCUGCUAUGGUUACUAUUCUAACUGUUAUUUUCCACACUUUAUGGACUUUUAGCUGAGUGGCUAUGCACUGUACCUGUCUAAUGGAAAUGUGUCAGGUUAGAGCAUCCAUAAUGCAGCAAGGAUAAAGGUAAUUUUCACAUGGGUGUUGACCAAAUGGCUUCUCCAGCAGCAGAUGGGACAGAAGUUGGACAUUGAAGACGAGGCAUGGGGAGCCCUGAGGAUGACCUGACUCUGAGAGCAGCUUUGUAUGGAAUGCUGUUCCACAUCCAGGCAGACAGCUCAGACUGGAAGGGAGCUCUGAAUCUGCUGAAGCAUGCUAUCCCCACACAAGAAACAGGUUGCUCCUGUUAAAGCACUGGGUGCUGGUGAUGUCCUGGCUAGGGGAGAGCGUUCUGCUAGACAUGCCGAAGUUCAGGGAUGAACUCAGUGCCACAUGUGGGAGCAAUGGAGUUGCACUGUGUGCUGGGGAAAUACUAAAGCAGCUGGCCAGCUACCAGAACUCCAUAAUCUCCCUACUGAUGUCUGGGAAGGAGUGUGGUGAUCUGGGUAGUCAGGAUACCUGGCUUGAUAAGGCUGAGACAUGCCUCCGUAUGGGACUGAAAUUGAUGCUGGAAAAGACGCUGAACCAAGCUCCUAAAUUCAGGUUCUCUGGAGAGCAGAGGGGUGGUGGAGCGUGUGCAUGCAGCCAGCCCUGUCGUGCCCCAUCCAACCAGUCAGUGCAGAAGCUCAUGGCUUCUCAAGCUCAAGCUCAUGGCUGCCUUUGACACCCUGAGAGAGACCGCCAGUGAGUUCCUCUGGCCACAGAGAGCAGGCUGCUGAGGUCAGACAUCCACACAACAUCAUCGCAUGAUCUGAUCCAAUUUGGGAUUAAUAACGUUCAUGUAUGAAUUUAAUCAUCCUAUCUGCAGUUCCUCUGUUGGUCUGCUUCAAAUCAUUCACAGCAUGUGUUCUACUUCGUAAGAUACUGGCUAAACAUUUUGACAAUAAGGAGGGGAAACGACACCACAUGAUGGCUGGCUACUCCUUCAUGAAGCAGGCCGGCUCCGCACAGGAACAUGUGGUGCUGAACGCCCAAAGCCUGUUCCCUUCAUGAGAGGUUUUAAGCUAAUACUGCAUAUCUUCCCAACACCAGCCUUCAAGAGGAGGACUGAUCAGAGUCUAAAGCCAGCCCUGAGGAGGAGUUAACCAGAGAGAAUGGCCGAGAUUCAAGCAGAACUGAGCCCAGACAGUACAUGGCCAAAUGUGCUGAGUUGCAGGAGGAGGGUUCUGCCUAGCAGCUGCUGGCUCUGGCCAGUGAGGCUUUAACGCAGGCCAUCAGCCUCUCUCUGCAACACAAACCCCCCCUAGCUCCAACCUCUCAGAAGCCUGUCUCAAUAUGCUGGAGUGUCACGUCCAGUUUGACCCGUGUGCCACCGGUCAAUAACUGGCCCUGCUUCAGAGCUGCUCUUGCACAGCUAUUAUGGCUGACAUUCUAAGAUCUGAUUGCAGAUUGUGCCAGCGCUCUGCACUACUCAACCUACACAGGGACCUGCUCCUCUCUCACAGGAGACCACUAGCCUACUGAAGGGAGUGGAGGGCACCCUCAAUUCAACAGAUCUUUUAUAAGCACCAUAUAGACAUUCACUUGAGCACUCAUUACUGGUUCCCCAUAAAUGUAAUUCAAUACAUUAAAUUAAGCCUUGUUUUGUUUCACACACUGAA